GCGGGCGUAGUUCAGUGGCAGAACAUCAGCUUCCCAAGCUGAGGGUUCGCUGCGCGCAUUCGCUUCGCGAAAGUUCGAUUCUCUUCACCCGCU
rnacentral:tRNA from 1 species